CAGCAGCCACGGUAAUACGUAGGUGGCAAGCGUUGUCCGGAAUUAUUGGGCGUAAAGGGCUCGCAGGCGGUUUCUUAAGUCUGAUGUGAAAGCCCCCGGCUCAACCGGGGAGGGUCAUUGGAAACUGGGAAACUUGAGUGCAGAAGAGGAGAGUGGAAUUCCACGUGUAGCGGUGAAAUGCGUAGAGAUGUGGAGGAACACCAGUGGCAAGGCGACUCUCUGGUCUGUAACUGACGCUGAGGAGCGAAAGCGUGGGGAGCGAACAGGAUUAGAUACCCCAGUAGUCCCUGUCUCUUAUACA
rnacentral:rRNA from 1 species